rnacentral:rRNA from 1 species
CCAGCUCCAAGAGUGUAUAUUAAAGUUGUUGCAGUUAAAAAGCUCGUAGUUGGAUUUCGGAAGGUCCUUAGCAAUCCGCCCCUUCGGGGAGCGGGUUGCUGGCCUCCUAUGUUCCUAACGGCCCUCAUCCGCGAGGGUGGGGAAUCAACCGCUAGGAUCGUUUACUUUGAGGAAAUUAGAGUGUUCAAAGCAGGCGUAACUCGCCUCCGAAUACGUUAGCAUGGGAUAAUGGAAUACGACUUCGGUCUUGUUUCGUUGGUUUCGCUUGGCUGAAGUAAUGAUUGAUAGGGACAGUUGGGGGCAUUAUAUUUAGUUGUCAGAGGUGAAAUUCUAGGAUUUACUAAAGACUGACCAAUGCGAAAGCAUUUGCCAAGGAUGUUUUCAUUAAUCAAGAACGAAAGUAGGGGGAUCGAAGACGAUCAGAUACCGUCGUAGUCUCUACCGUAAACUAUGCCGACCAGGGAUCCGGAGAGUUUGCAUGGAUGACUCCCCGGGCACCUUGUGAGAAAUCAUAAGUGUUUGGGUUUUGGGGCGGAGUAUGGUCGCAAGGCUGAAACUUAAAGGAAUUGACGGAAGGGCACCACCAGGAGUGGAACCUGCGGCUUAAUUCGACUCAAC